rnacentral:rRNA from 1 species
GAUGAACGCUGGCGGCGUGCCUAAUACAUGCAAGUCGAGCGAACAGACGAGGAGCUUGCUCCUCUGACGUUAGCGGCGGACGGGUGAGUAACACGUGGAUAACCUACCUAUAAGACUGGGAUAACUUCGGGAAACCGGAGCUAAUACCGGAUAAUAUAUUGAACCGCAUGGUUCAAUAGUGAAAGACGGUUUUGCUGUCACUUAUAGAUGGAUCCGCGCCGCAUUAGCUAGUUGGUAAGGUAACGGCUUACCAAGGCAACGAUGCGUAGCCGACCUGAGAGGGUGAACGGCCCAACGGGGAAUGAAGCCAGGUUCCGGAUACUAACGGGGGGAAGAAUUAGGAAACUUACAGAAAGGGUGAAAAGCUGACGGAAACAUGGCGGGUGGAUUAUGAAAGGACUUCGAUUGGAAAAUUUUUUUUUUAGGGAAGGAACAAUGUUAUAAGAAACGUUCAAGUUUUGGAGGUAACUAAUGCGGAAGCCAAGGCCAACUUAGUG